AGAGAUGAAAGAAACGAAAGGCGGAACUGAGCGAUUAUAGGUUUUUCUUGUCUUAUAUUUUUUUUUUUGGUUUUUUGUA
rnacentral:ribozyme from 14 species